UGGGGAAUAUUGGACAAUGGGCGAAAGCCUGAUCCAGCCAUGCCGCGUGUGUGAAGAAGGUCUUCGGAUUGUAAAGCACUUUAAGUUGGGAGGAAGGGCAGUAAGCGAAUACCUUGCUGUUUUGACGUUACCGACAGAAUAAGCACCGGCUAACUCUGUGCCAGCAGCCGCGGUAAUACAGAGGGUGCAAGCGUUAAUCGGAAUUACUGGGCGUAAAGCGCGCGUAGGUGGUUCGUUAAGUUGAAUGUGAAAGCCCCGGGCUCAACCUCGGAACUGCAUCCAAAACUGGAGAGCUAUAGUAGGGCAGAGGGUGGUGGAAUUUCCUGUGUAGCGGUGAAAUGCGUAGAUAUAGGAAGGAACACCAGUGGCGAAGGCGACCACCUGGGCUCAUACUGACACUGAGGUGCGAAAGCGUGGGGAGCAAACAGG
rnacentral:rRNA from 1 species